ACAAUAUCAUACGGUUCUGCACGAGUCCUUCCUUUGCACCGGUUGACAGCACCGUAAAUUAAAACUCGUUCUGGCGAGCAUCGUCGAUAUCUCGACACUCUUAACGAAUCUUCCCUUUCUCUUUUGCUUUCUAUAAUUUUUCCCAUUUUCUCAGCUCGUACAACUGUUCGAUAGAUCGUUGAAUUUUUUGUUUUUUAGAUCCUUCACGUAUGUUUGUUACUCAGGUUCUCUCAUUACGAUCGUUAACGAUACAAGACGAAUCUCCUGUGCAUUCAAACGAUCCUAGUCCCGAGACAAUAGAUAAAGAACGUUCCUUGUAGGAUACUAUGUAUCGAUUUCGAAUUUCCCGGCAUUUAGCCAUUACCGUUCUGUCGAUCUCGCUUGGUACACACUUAGGAAUGGUGGCGUUCGAAGAGACGCAACUUCCGGCUCGAAGGAAGUCUUGGAACAUCGUUACGAACAGCACUACGUAUACUUCCAAAUUAUCUCCACGUGGGAGCUCUCGACCUUUUCUUCCUCUCUCUUCCUCUCUCCUCCCGUUGUUAUCGCAUCAAUGGACCGUCAGUCGUGCCGUGAGACUCAUCUCGUAAGAGUUUGUAUUCUCGUUGCGUCGAGUUGCUUGACCAGUCACGUGUUUCUCUUCUUUUUUUCCUGGUCAAGUAGCCGGAUCAUUGUUCGAACACGAAUUAUUGUAAUAUGGGUGAUGUCAUCAUUCAAUAUCCUUUGUUUCGGAAAAUUGAGCAACGACUGACUUAGUCGAAUCUUCAGAAACAUCAUGCCAGGUUUGAUCGCAUUUGGUAGACGUUGGAAAUUCGGCAGCGAUGAUUUGCUCGUACCAUCUUUCAUUCUUUUAUUUGUUCACUCGGUUCAGUAAGUAUAACUAAGUUUUGGUUUAUGUAUCUUAUACGGAUCAUCCAUUUAUUACGUUUCGAUGUAUGAUAAAUAAUUAACAUAAGCAUCAUCCUGAAAUUAUUCAGAUAUUUUAUUACCAAUGCUCUUUGCAGUUACAAUUUUCUAUCUCGUUUGAUAAACGUAAAAUAUAAUUGGAACUUUGCGUCUUGUCCACUGACCCGACAUAAAUUUGCGUUCGUAUCUUAUUCGUUGGGUCAACUCUUUGAAAAUCUCUAUAUGGAACGUGACGGACUUUGAGAUACUUUGUGUACAAGAUCCGACUCUAACUAUUAGACAGAGUAAUCCCCUCUAAUUUAGCGGAAAAUCCAUUAAAUUAAUAACGACAACGUCGGCUUAUUGAUAUUCAAACUCCGACGUACGCUAUUUUAGACACGGAGCACGAAUUCUAUGCUUUCCUGUUGUCCUUUAAUUUUAUAGGAAUAGAAAGAUACUGCGGAGAUUUUAAACAGAUCUAUAAAAAAAGAAAACUAUAUUUCGUGCCUGCGCGUCGAUAUCAAAUUAUUUUUAAAAAAUAUUUAUCUAUCUCGUUUCACAUAUGUUAAAUUUAAAAAUGUAAAUAAUUAUAUUUACGUAAAUAUCAAAGAAAUAUAUAUCCGAGAAGAAUGGUACAAACAUUUUAAACGUUAUUCUUUAAAAACCAUUUUUAAAAGUAAUAUAUCAUUUUUAUGUCGAGUAAUAAACUAACAUUACGAAUGAAUUCCCCCAUGAAAGCUUGUACAAAUCAUCCGAUUGAAUUAUUUCCCACGUUUUCGCGAAUAUUCCAAAUUUCGCUAAAGAAUCCAAUUAAAUUUUCUGUUCAAAGAGUUAAUCUUUAAAGCUUCGAAGCAUCAAAACCAAGUAAAAUUUAUGACGUUCAUAUGCAUUUCUAUCCGUGUCACAGAGAUAAUACGCUAAUUUUUUUUCCGACAUAAUUUUUUUUUUCGCAUGUUGAAUUUCGUUUAAAACAGAAGUUCGAUGUUAUAUCAGUGUUCUCAAUCUACAUAUAUGUGUAUAGCUUAGUAUUAUGUAAAUGAUCUGAUAGUAUGUAGUCACGUGGAAACAUUUCAACGGAAAACAUUUUCACAUGAAAAUCAUGCAGGAAGAAAUAAUGCGUCGAGUAUCACGAAAAGAGCUCUAGUAGGAGGGUUACUCCCGUUACGUGCCCAGCAGCAAUGUAUUGAGCUUUGUGCAGGGAGUGCAAUAAGUCUCUAUAAAAAGAAAAAAGAAAAAAAACAAAUAAAAAAAAAAGAAUUUUAGGCUUAGCACCUUGCUUUUGGAAAUCGAAGAAAGGUAGCCACGAACGUGCCUCUCGAGGAUCAAUACGUCAUGUGCGGCGGGUGUCGCCGCUUGCUGAAUGGUGUCUAUACCCUCGCUAGUCAUGCUCCCCAUGAAUCAUUUAAGGGGCUUUCCAAUAUACGUAUAUUUCACACCGACAUUUCUUUCUGCACCAUUCUAUCGUUGCAUAUAUUUCUGAUCUUAUGCGACUGUACUCCAAAAUCAUCAUACUCGUGAAUAUCAUAAGAUGUUUUCACGUGUAAAUAAUAUUUCUUAUUAUAUCAAUUCUUUCUUUACGAAGGAAACUUUUACGUUUGGAAUAAUAAAUAAUAUCACGUUCGUGUUCCUCGCGUAAAACUUGGACAAACGUAUUUCCGGAUAUAUCUGUUUCGUAGUCUGAAUGAAGAGCACGUUACACGAGCUUUGAAUUUAUUUGCAAAUUAAAAUAAGAUCACGUUCUUUGAUUGUUAAAAUACUCGAAUCAUCUUCAUUCUCUGUAUUUUAUCUGCGACGUACGUCUGUUUCUCUCUCUCUCUCUCUCUCUCCUCUCUUCCUCUCUCCGACAGACUGCCUUCAUUUUCUAGGAACAUUCGCGACGACAUGAAUGUGCAAUUAGAGUAACCAUGGUAAAAUCGAGACUGUGCAUUUGUAAUUAACUUCGAUCGUAUGUGUUAACGUUUACGUUAAAGAAUUUCAUUUCUUUUCGUUCGUUCGUACGUAACACGGAUUUGAAAUAAAACUUACUUAGCACGCUUCUAUACUUUUCUCGUACCUUUAUUUGUGUUUCUAUAAACGACUUCAGUGAUAACAAAGUUUUUGAUCUAUUUGGGCAGUUUAAUUGUUUAAUUUCGAAACAGCUAUACCUGUAACGCUUCGAAACCUUCUUCUAGUUGAAGGAAGGAUGACGAAUUGAUAAAGAUUAUUUGGAUCCUCGAGAAUUUUAUUCCCGACAGCUAUUUUCAUAAUUCUCAGUCUAUUAGAGCUUAGCAAGUUGAAGGAGGAAAGCACGGAGAAUCAUUAUUUACUAUCAAGAGAUCUUCACUCUAAAAUGAGGACGCAAAUUACUCCUCGUUGUACCAUUUUUCAUUCUUCUCUUUUAAUUUAAUACUUAAUACCAUAAAUUGUCCAUGCUGGAAUUGAUACCGAGUAUAAUACAUUUUAUAUCGCAGUACUAAUUUUAGAAUGAACUUUUCUAACAAAAGUAACUAUUACAAAGUAAUAUGAUUAUUAUCGAGCUGACUAUCGCGAAAGGACAUUACCUCGUCAUGUUUUCAUAGAAAGGAUAUAGAGAAUAUGAAAAAAGGUUCGUGCAAGACGUAGAAUGUUUUCUGUUGCCACGCUUGUUGUGACAAUCCGUGAAUGUUCGUUGCCACUCAACCGACAGACCUGACACGUAACUCUGCACUGCUGAAAAUAGAAAUCUACAAAUUCUUCUUCUCUUUCAGUCGGCUUAUCUGCUUUUCGUUUCGUAAUAGUAAAAUGAUAGAAAAUAAAAUAAAAAAUAAAAAAAAAAAUAAAGAAAUUAUAGAGUGAACUUCUUUAUGCGGUUAGAUUUAAAAGUUUUCCUAUAACGUGCUACUAAUCUUACGAAUUGUGACUCAUCCCUGAUCAUUAACCUAUUUUUAUGUAUCACGUUUGAAAGAGAAUUUGCGUCAAUGAUACAUUUUUAUAUCCUGCUUCCUUCGAAAACUGAUUAGAAUCUUGAAAUUGUUUCCGCUCUUGGUUUCCCUUUUUACGAUAUAAAAAUGUUCAUGAUAUAAAAAACGAAUACUUUAACGUAAGAGCUCGGAAAGUUCCAUAAGAAAAUUCUUCCAUCGUAGCCAGUAAACUUGUAUAAGAGCGUUCCAAUCUGGUAAGGAAAUCACUAUCGUUAUUAUCGAUCGUUGUAAAUUCAAGAGGUCGGAGGUUUCCUAGUCCCUUUAAUCAAGCGAACCUUUAAUUCAAUGUGGAACCCUAUCGUGACAGAGCAGAUGCGAAAUAAAGAUGGUUCCAUAAAAUCAAUCUUGGCAGAGCUCUCGAAAGUGUCGAUUGCAUAUUUGCAUUGGUAUAGAAUUCUUUUGAUCAAACAUUUGAAUAAUAAUAUUACGAAGGGAACGAAAAAAGUAAAAUAAAAAACAAAAUGAAAAAAAUAAAUAAAUAAAAUAAAGACGCGAAAAGCAGUCCAUUCAAAGUCGUGGUAGCAAAAGUUGCAUAAAAAAUUAGUAUACUAUAUUGUAUGUGUGCGUGGAAGAGAGUGUAGAUCGUCUCGCAGAACCAAUGCAAAUCCACCCACAUGACCCUUCGACAGUCCCUUGCUCGGACGAAGUUCGCCAUCGAACUUCCCCCUUUUGUUUUGCGACUCAUUCGUAGGCGGGGGUAAGCUUGGGGGGUUCGCCACGUAGGUUUUGGGGUGCUGGCACCCUACCGUGCUAAAUCGUCCUUUGUCUCUCUCCUUCUCUUUUCUACGACGAGAACAACGACGGACGACGAAAGUACCGACGGAAUAUAUCGUUCUCGAAUCGUACGAUGUUCGAUAGAUAGCUGACCCUUUUUAUUUGUAGCAACUUUCAAAGGAACUUUUCGAUAUGGAAACUAUUUUCCAUGUUAUUACUUUUUUUUUUAACGAUAUCUUUGUACGAAAAAAUUUCGAUAUAUAGUUAUAAGGAGUAUUAAGAAAUACCUACAUAGAGAUUAGGUGUGCGUGUGUGUAUACUUUAUGAUAGAAUUUCAAUUAAUCGUUAUACAAAAAAUAACUAAUAGUAAGUCUUACAAUUUCUUAUAAACAGACUUGAAUAUUUACUUGGUUAAAUAGAUUUCUACUCGCGUUAACGAUGUCGUGAGAAUGGUAUAGAAGAGUAGAUAAACGAUAAAUACAUAUCUUUAUCACGAAAUAACGUAAUUUCCGAACGAUUCUUUGGUUGUUAUCCUCGACCUAAAGUUUUAUGUUAUUCGAUGCUUAACGAUAUCAACGCUCUUAUUAACUCUUUUAUUAGAAUAAAUGGUAUAUAGACACGCAUGAAGAUCACGCGAUGUUCCUUUAUGUUGGAUUUUCUCUUAUUUUUUGUUGGAUUUUCUCUUAGAAAAUAGUGAUACUAUCGAAUUUUAUAGUAUUAUCGUAUAUUGAUUUGUAGAAUUGUCGCUUGGUUCAUUGUCUGUUUUUUAUCCAGGUCUUCUUCGAUCCUCGACUUACUUCAAUUUCAAGUAGUUCGAGUAAGCAGAACCAUUCGAGCAAAUUGAAGCGAUGGAAGAACGAUCGUUAUUGUUCUAUUCGAGAGAACGUCGGCAAUUAAUCGUUUUACAUAGUAAGAUAUAGGUAUAGAUCGUUGACAGCACACUUGAUUUAUGACUCUUCGUUUCUUCAUACCGUCCGUUAAUGAUUAAAUAAGUUCUCUAUUUUAAUAAUAACGAGCGUCGUAAUAUAAAACGUUAACUAUAUUUGAAACAUAAGUAUAUUUGAUAUGCAUCCACUUUGCAUUCAUCGUUUAGUCAUAAGCAAAGUGUUCUUCAAGUAAAACAAACUUUCGUGUCCUAACUCGUAACUUAAUUCAAGUCUCGCCCAACGACAUACACGUGGUAAAUUGUAGCGGCACGCAUUUGACUUGCACUUUCCAUUGACAUACAAGCGACUAUCAUCGUAUACUACCUAUUCUGUGGUUUCAUACCACCUAUCUCGAUAUAGAUACUUACGUAUGUACUAUUACAGUCGGUUUAUAGUCGACAAACCUCAAACUAAUUAAUAACUCAAAUUGUUAGCUUUGAUAGAAGUGCAGUUUGCUCCUAAUGAGUCUUCUUUCGUUUGAAAAGUUUUUCUUUGUGUUUGUAAUUAAUUACCAUCAGAACAUCAAUGAGAAGUAAUAUAAGAAUAAUUAAAUAGAAUAAUUAUUUGAAAAUGUUCGAUCUGUUUUUGUAAAAAAAUUAUUUUGUAAUGUUAUCUAAUUUAUCUAUUUGUUUAGAAAAAAAUAUUUCUUGAAACGUAUUCAAGUGUGUAGUUAAUUGGCUCGCUUGUAGUUGCAUUAUAUGAUGUAGAUGAUUUAGAUUGAUCACGAACAAUAACGAACUAUCACGGCGUAAUUCGAACCUUUCAUACUUGCCAUAAUAAACAUUGGAGGAAGUUUAAAUUUUUUACUCACUACUUUUUGAAGUUCUCUGAUGGCUCCAAAACACUCGUCCACGUUGUAGGUCGAAAUUGAGAAAAAUUGAUUCGAAAUAGGUUGAAAAUGAGUCGAGUCAAUACGUCUGAUAACGCAGGAUUGCAAUGAUGAUUCGACAAAAAACUGAAAAGAAGUUUUUAUGAAAUUUAUCGUAAGAAAAAAUUAUUAAUUAAAUCGUCGUUAAAAAAUUGAAAAAGUAAUGAAAUCGUGAAAAAAAAGUUACUGCGUAGGAGGCUCCCCUCUGUAGGGGGGGGGGAGACCGUUAGAAUGCUGAUUUUAUUUUCGCAAAUAUUUUUUCAACGCGACGAUGCUCCGACUUACGAAUAUUUAUACGAAGAAAACUCGUUUCAAGGAAUCGAUUGGUAUAUAGGAAGAGAGUAUAUGUUAGAAAAAAAUGUAUUAAUUACCUAAAAUUAAUGAGGACGAUACGGAUCUUGUUACGAGCUCUGGUGCCGUCCGAACAAAAUGACGUAUUUAUCGAGAAAACCGUUGGACAAAUCCCCCCCCCCCGCCCGCCCCGCCCCCUACCCGUCGCUCGGUAUACCAUUUUAAGCACACUGCGCAUUAAUUCCUAUACUAUUAAGGAACAAAACUUUCGGGAGCCUGUGCAUCAAGUGAUAUACCAAUUUUUGCAUUUAAUAUUAAGAAAUAAAAUGUAAUAUAAACUCUGAGAGCAUAGAAAUCAUAAGAAUUCUCAUUAAUCGUUAUUCUGUAGAUAGAUUUUAAUUUUUUAAUGAAUUAAGUAACAAAAAAAUUUUCGUUAAACAUAUUUAGAAUCUCAUUUUACUUACGUAGUACUCUUCACUAUUUUCAUUGCGAGCGGAAAAAAUGAAUAAGUAAUGAAUUAAAUAACGAAAGAAUCGAUCGUUAUAGCUUUAUAUAUCUCUUGUAAAUAUUCGAGAAACAUUAGAAUUGUAUUUAAUUUGUUACUUAUACUUUAUUUACGUUACCUAUAUUUAUAUUUAUUGUUACUUAUAUAUCGGUUCGAUGAUAAUCGAAUAUCCCGGGAAAUGUUCAGUCGGCUUGAAGAAGAUGAAGUUGAAGCAACGAAUGUGACGUGAAAUAAUAAUGUUGGAAAAAAGAAGACUUCGAUCUGUAUAUUUGAACACGACUGACAUAAAAAUUUUGAAAAGAAUUAUUGUUAUAGUGAUGUAUAUAAUUUCCUGAAAAAUAUUUGUUUUUAAAGCCAAGGUAGGCAAUAAAAAUGAAAUUUUCUCGUUCGCUGCUUGUACACAGACAUCCAACACAUACGCACGAAUAUCUGGAAUUGAGCUCAGCGAUCGUUAGAACGUAAUAUAUCCUCUUAUUCCCGAAAACAAGUAUGAAAACAUCGUCCCGUUAAAAAUGAAUAAUACAAUGGAUAACUGUUAUAUCUCAUAUUCGAUACAUCAAUUCACCAUUGUACGGAAUAAUCGAAUUAGGAUCGAGUUGGUGGAAAAUUUAAACCAAACGGACGCGAUAUCGUUAUAUGGCUGCAUCCAGGGGGCAACUGUUCGAGUCAAUGACUCGUUUAGGUUAAAUUUAGAAUAUCCCUAUUUUAUUUCUUAAAUAAUUAAUGUUUCUUUUUUUUUCUACAAAAUAAUCUUUUUUUCAUACUUAUUUCUAUUAGAUCUAAAACGAUUGAAUUAAAUUUCUUCAUUAAAUUCCAAACGAAGAAUAUGAUGUAGAAUUUUGUUAUUUACGAAACUAGUCGGAGAACUAAAGCGUAUCGACGUUUUAAAACAAGAGCGAAUUUAUACAUUAUUCAUAUAAAAGUCUAUUUCAAGCGUAAAACUUUUCAAAUCUAGUCUGUGUAUAUAUGGGUAUAUAUGUAUUUAACUCUCUUGAUAUCCUAAGUGAAAUAUUUUGUGAGAGUUGAAAUUAAAUGGAAGUAAGUGAACGUUUUAUUUAUUCGACGUUUUUUCAAUUGGUCCAAAUCUGAUAAUGUAGUCGUUUGAUUAAAAAGUUUUACGCUUUUUUUAAUCUACAAUAUUUCAUUCUUUGUCUGUUAAUAGUAAACGACAGCCAUUCAG